AGUGAACGCUGGCGGUAGGCCUAACACAUGCAAGUCGAACGGCAGCACAGUAAGAGCUUGCUCUUACGGGUGGCGAGUGGCGGACGGGUGAGGAAUACACCGGAAUCUACUUUUUCGUGGGGGAUAACGUAGGGAAACUUACGCUAAUACCGCAUACGACCUACGGGUGAAAGCAGGGGAUCUUCGGACCUUGCGCGAUUGAAUGAGCCGAUGUCGGAUUAGCUAGUUGGCGGGGUAAAGGCCCACCAAGGCGACGAUCCGUAGCUGGUCUGAGAGGAUGAUCAGCCACACUGGAACUGAGACACGGUCCAGACUCCUACGGGAGGCAGCAGUGGGGAAUAUUGGACAAUGGGCGCAAGCCUGAUCCAGCCAUACCGCGUGGGCGAAGAAGGCCUUCGGGUUGUAAAGCCCUUUUGUUGGGAAAGAAAAGCAGCAGGUUAAUACCCCGCUGUUCUGACGGUACCCAAAGAAUAAGCACCGGCUAACUUCGUG
rnacentral:rRNA from 1 species